UGUAUCACGUUGAAACACCGAAGUUAAGCAACAUCGAGCCUAGCCAGUACCUACAUGGGUGACCGCUUGGGAAUACCAGGUACUGUG